UUUUUUUUUUUUUUUUGUGUUUUGUUGUAAUUGGGCCAGAAGCCCAUUUAUUUUUAGUGUCAUAUGUUAGUUUUAGGACAUGUGAAAUUGGACCUAAAGCCCAAAAGAAAAUUCAAUUUUUAUGAUAGUCUAGGACAGGUGCAAAUGAGCUAAAAGGCCCAAAAUGAAAUUAGGCCCAAGUACUGGCCCAGGUGGACAGAAAACCAGAUUUGGGCCCAAAAACACACACACUCUCUCUCU